rnacentral:lncRNA from 1 species
GGUGAGUUUCAGAACCUAGGGUUUCCGGUGUUGGACCUAGGGUUUUCUUUGUUGAUUGAAGGCCGAUCUUCUCCGGUAGCGAAGAAGGAGGGUAACUCUGUCCUCAUUUUGACUAUUAUAUGCUUUGAAUGUGACUACCUGGUUCUGUAUGUGACUAUCUGGUUCCGUUAUAUUUUUCUUGCCGACACUGUUUUUAAGCUGAUUCAUUAAUCAUGGCUUCUAAUACCACUGUUGGUACCUCCUCCUCGGUAGACUCUACCAGCCCCAUUUUUGUAUAUUCCUCUGAUGUCCCUGGGGUCUCUCUUGUCCCCACUCCCUUCUCGGGUAGUGGUUAUGGGGGUUGGAGACGCAAGAUGAUUGUUGCAUUAUCUGCUAAAAACAAAAUCGGAUUUGUUGACGGCUCAUGUCCUCGACCUACCAGGGUAGUGGUUAUGGGGGUUGGAGGCAUAAAAUGAUUGUUGCAUUAUCUGCUAAAAAUAAAAUCGGAUUUGUUGACGGGUCAUGUCCUCGACCUACCACUAAUGUGGCUCAACAGAGACUGUGGGAUAGAUGUAAUAACAUGGUCAUUUCCUGGUUGACCUCUUCCCUGUCUCUUCAGAUUGCUGAUAGUGUGCAGUAUUCCGAUACUGCACAGAGUAUAUGGUUCCAAAUUGAGAAAAGAUAUGGUACUCCUAACAAGACCAAAAUUUUUGAAUUAAAAAGGGAACUUUCUCACACAUCUCAAGGCUGUUUAGAUGUAGCCUCAUAUUUUAACAA